rnacentral:lncRNA from 1 species
GAUGGAAGUACAUUUUUCUCUUUGAGAGUCAGUGUCCUCCAAGUCAGAGAGGGAGUAGCGACCCAGAAAUGUCCCCAAAUAUGGAAAUAGAAACAUUGGCCAAGGGGAAAGAGAAAUUCGAGCCUCUUCUGUGUCAGUCCAUCGAGCAGAACCACGACCAAGAAGCAUAUGUUAUAGGGAGAUGACUUGGACUCUCAGCGAGGAAGGGCUUGCUUUCUUCUAAUGAGAACUGUUGGAAAAUGGGCCCUGGGGCAGGGGAGAGUGGUCCCCUCACUGGCUUCCAGUAGGCCAGGGGCAGGCGCCCCCUCGGGUACCUCCCAGCAUGUAGUGUGACUCUCCAAUGAGGCAAGGCAGGAGGGACACGACCACCAUGUUCUGAGAGAUGGCUGAGGAGAGGGUCAGCCAGGUGGCUCAUGGCCAGUGUUCCCGGGGCCCAGCCUGAAGGGAGAUGCUCAGCAGGCCGGUUGAGGCCAAUUCUAGUUGCUGGGAAUGGAAUGAAUGAGAGCAGGGAGAGGGAGACUCCGUGGAACCUGACAGAAAGUCCUCCUUCCUUCAGCACUCAGGAGAUGUUCGGAUGGAGACCCUGCCUCAGACAUCUCGGGAUGCUGGUCCACGGAAAACAAUCACAGCCUGGAGCUGAGUGUGUCAAAAUGAAGAACGUGGCCAACCUGCUGCCCAACCGGGGGCCCAGCUUGAGUCCCCAUAUCAGACGGAGGCAGGCUUGCCAGAGACCAGAGCGGCUGCCGAGGUCCUCGUCGGGUCAAGUCAGACAACAGUAAGUCAGGCGUUGCGAGCCAACAAUGUGAGCAUCAACGAUGGUGAAGACGAGGGCUUUUGGAGUCACGCUUUCCUGGGUUCAUAUCUUGGCUCUGCCACCAGCUACUUAGGUUCUCUGGGUCUCAGUUCCCUCAUUUGUAAAAUAAGGAUAAUAAUUGGCUCACCUCAUGACGUUGUUAAUGAGUUGCUACCUCCAGACCUGUGCCUGGCACUCAAUCCGUGCCGUAUAAAUGUGCCUGUUGUCACUGUCUUUUGUCACACCACCAAACUCAUCCUGAGCUCUGACCCAUCCCAUGUCCUGAGUCUUUCCGGGAUCACGGAAAGUCCAGUUUCAGAGAGGCACCCCGUCCAGCCAUUGUCAGACGCCCACUUGGAACAGACUCCCUGAGAAGCCUCGGGGUCUUUGCCCCGUGUGGUGUGGCAGUGAAGCCAAGACACAGAGAGAAUCAGAGACAGAGACAGAGAGACAAAGACAGAGACAACACUCAGAGUAACUGUCCUUUCAGCAUGAAAGCUGGGGAGUGGCUGGGCCCUGGGGUAAGGGUGUGGCUGGGUCCACCUGGCAGGACCGUGGAGCUGAGGCUGAACAGCCAUGGGAAUCCAGGGACCAGGUGGGAUGAGGGACAAUGGGAGCCCUUGAGAACUGCUCCAGCGGAUGUGGACUGAGUACACAGCCAGCUGUCUGUCCAGAGCACAAUGUGGUCUGGACACAGGCAAACAGUCAUGUGAUUCUCGUUCCUUCUAUCAGUGGGAGGAGGGAUGGGAGAGGGGCAGGAGGAAAGAGGUAUCACUUGUUCCUCUUCCACCUGGUACCAGCACCCACAGCCUGGAGGAACCAGGCGACCAGGGACACAUUCCUCAGGGGGGCAGGAGGACAUCAAAGGCCUCCAUGCUGACUGGCUCAGAGCCUAGUCUCCACCCGCCCUUGCUCGGCCACCCGCUGUCCCCCGGCGGGUGAUGUGGGUCACCAUCCUGGGCCUGGCGAGGAGACUGGGGGGCCCAGCCCUGUUCUGAGAUGCGGUGUCUCCCCUACCAGCCACACUCCCAUGCUGGCAGCCCGGUGCAUGCCCCCCCCCACCGACCCACCCCAACUGCCCGGUGUUGAAUGAAGAAACGAUGACAUGAUUGGUUCAAGAGUUUUCUCAGUUGCCUUGGACAUUGCGUCUCUCUUGGAAAACGCUAACCUGUUUUCACAAGCCCUCAACAGAGGCUGUCAGCCCCAUGGACAGUGAGCGAGGCCGUUCCUGCGCCUGUGGGGGGUGAGGACAGGGUCCGGGGCGCAGUGCUCCUGGACCAGGGAGGUGUCCCUGUGCCUCCGGGACUGUCCCAGCUCCCAGUGUCUCCUGGGAUGGCCCAGGGGCUUCUUCUGCCCACAUCCCUACACCGUGGCCCAUACCGGUUCACCCCCACGUGAUUCCAGCUCACCCCGAGCUGGGGGGCUGGGGGGGGCAAAUGGAAACCAGUCUCCGUCCCCAUGCCUUGCACUAGGGCAGGACGAAGUGGCAGUGCCCCGAGCAGAGGCUCCGGCCAAGAGCACAAGCCCAGCCUCUGCCUCCGUCUUCCCUUCCCUGGUCGUGGCCACUGCGAGGCGAGUAGGAUGGAGAGGGAGGGAGAGAACGUGCAGGUUAGGGAUGCAAGGGGGGCUCCCUACAGCCUCUGACCCCAUCAGGAUGGAAGCCUGGCAUGAAGGAGUCGUGUCCCUGCCUCUCCUUCGUAGAGAAAGUGCUGCAGGUUCCCAGAGUUCCAGGCACACUCAUACCCACGUGUAAGGACCCACGCAAAUGCCAAGAAAGCGGCAAAAGCCCUUCUCUGCUUCGUCACCAUUUUCGAUGCACAGAUGCAAAGUCUGUAGGACAGACACUGCCUUGCAUGUGGUGAGGCCUCUGUAAUGUUUAUUGGAAAAAAAUAAAGUCACCGUCCAUGAGAAAGCCAAGCGCAGAGGGUUUUGCUGUAUAUCCUUUUUUAAGUCCCUCUGACUAAUUAAAGUAUUUGUUGAUUUCCAGCCCAUAGUUUCAAUCAACCCAGGGGGAUUUUCAAAGGCUUUGGUGUGCC